CUGAACUGGAGUAGGCUUGCAGGGAGGCCCCAAGCAAGGAAGGAGGCAGGCAGGCAGACAGAGUGGCCCCCACAGCUCUCUGCAGCAGAUCCUCUGCCCAGCCCAGCAUUUGCCAGAUACUGCCUGAUUACCCAAGCUCUCAGUGACUGAGGAGCCCUAGAGCUGUUCUUCUACAGUCACAGACUUUUCCUAUAAAUUCCAAAUGCUGCGCCAAAAAAAAAAAAGAAGAAGAAGAAGAUGUCUGCAGACACUUAAUUGCAGAAAACGGAAUUCCUGUCAUAAAAUUUCAGAGGCUGGACAUCAAGAUGUUUUUACUCCAGAGUCAUCCCAUUAAAUGCAAGCAUUUUAUGAACUUCAUUCUCAGUACCUAAAAUCAUGGAAGGGGAAGCGAUUUUCCCUUCUUUCUCCUCACUGCAAAAAGCCGUUUUGCUUUCAAGAAUGUGUUUGGAAACGCUGAGCAACCCUCAGGAACGCAGCCCUGCCAGCAGAAAGGUCUUUGCAGCAAGCAGAGAGAAAAUAAAAUUGCCCCUUCGCAUCCACUUGACUGUGCAAAAAGCCUCUCCACAAGGACACUGAAGGCUCCCUGCAAACGCACAGCCCUUCUUCCACCCACCUACAGCUGUGUAGCAGGUGGGCCAGUGAAUGACUUGAGAAAGUAACUAAAGCUAAUUUAUAUGUGGAAACAAGGGAACUGCUGCAAUCCAUAGAGAAAACAAGUGGAAGACAUCCAAAGGCAUAAGAGAAAACCAGUUCCACUUUCAGGCAAUGGAUUGUUAUGUAUCUUGCGAUCUGGUCGUAAUCAUGCUUAUUCAGGUACUAUGGUACUCAUGUCCAAGUAAGAAUGCCUAGGAUUGCUGCCUUAGGGUGACUUUCCCCCCCAUGUGUUUUGCUUCUCCUAACUGUGUGAACUCCCAUUCUUAAGGCCAAUGUCAAUGCAACAUAUAUCGCCAAACUACACAUGGUGUUUAUUGAGUCAUUCACUGGAUGGGUUUAGUUUUUCUUUAGUCAGUAGAAGCCACAGAAAUCCACAUCUGGAUUUGUAUCAUGUAACAAGGAAGAGGUUUAUAAAUCCUUUGCCUCUGCCACAAUCCCAUCUAGAUCUUGCCCCCGCAUUGUGGCUGCCCCAGAAGGAAAUCUGCCAUUGAUGCCAAAUGCAGAUUACUUACUUUACAGAAUACAAGCUGUAAGCACUAAAACUGUUACAGAUAAUGUUAUAUGUGUAAGUUAUGAUCUAUAUUUUUAUGAGCCAGAUUUCACCAGUUUUUUUUUAUUUCUAUGCUCUAGAAAUCUGAUGUUGCUUUUAGCCUGCCUAGGACUUAACCCAAAGUGAUCUUGCUUGGGAAGCAAGACUGAUCUGUCCAAAGACAGGACAAAAAAGUUGCAUUUUACUCAUCACUCAUCUGGCAGUCAUCCCUCCUAUUGGGAAAUGGGAGAUUGCUCCAGGGGCUUCUACAUUAUCGCAGAGGUCUUGGGAGUGUUCUCCUGUUUCUCAAUGAGAGGAACAUCUGCGGCUGGAAGGCCAGGAGCAGAAAUGGUCUGCCAGGUUCUUCAGUUAAGAUGCCCGUGGCUUUUUUCUUAUUUAUUUAUUUACUUACUUACUUACUUACAUUGAUAUCCUGCUCUUCCUCCAAGGAGCCCAGAAUGACGUACAUGAUUAUGUUUAUCCUCACUACAUCCCUGCAAGGUAAGUUAGGCUGAGAGAUAAGUGACUGGCCCAGAGUCACAGAUUUGAACUUGGGUCUCCCUGGUCCUAGUCCAAACUCUAACCAGUCCACCACACUGGCUCUGAGGAAUGUUGUUGGUGAAAAUCCCUUGGACUGAAGACGCUGGCCAUUUCUGCAUUAAGGGAUACCAAUGGUUUUCCAGAACAUUCCAUAAUGAAGACCAGGAGAAGAUCCUGUGCAGACAGGCCUUUAACGUUUCUGCUCUGUGGUUGCCUUUUCCCAUCUUGAUAUUGUUUUAUCUGUUUUUAGUCUUUUGCAUGAUGUUUUUAUGUGCAUUUGUCUUUGUAUUGUGCUGAUGGGUUUUCAUCCGCUAUUUUUUAUUACUGCUGUUUUGGUUUUUACGGUAUCGCCCCCCACCCCGCUUCUACAUGGUGUGUAUAGUGUAUUAGAGGAUUUUAUCUAAUGUUCUCUGCUUUGAGCAUUCAAACACUAUUUUAUUUUUUCAUUAUUAUUAUUAUAAAUACAUAUAUGGCUGUGGAUUGAA